UUGCUUGAGCAACACACAUACAAAUUUGGAACAAUACAGAGAAGAUUAGCAUGGCCCCUGUGUAAGGAUGAUACUCAACUUCGUGAAGCAUUACAUAUUUAA